ACAAGUGGAAGAAAAGACUCUUUGUUGUUAAUGAAACCAGCAAAAAAAUAACUCUUUAGUCCAAAUGGCUAAAGGAUAUGUGCCAGAACCAAAGGAAGGAGGACACAGAUUGCAGAUUAUGUGUUUUUUCAGAUCCCUGAGCAUAUACACAGAGAAAACAGGUUGUUAUUUGGGUCUGAAGAGCCUAACUGCAAAUCCCCUGCUUGGAAUGGCAAAGUCUGAGGCUGUGCAUGGGCUAUAUGAGAGGCCUUGGGCCAAUUUCCCUACUGCAGAGUAGCACAAAUGAUAGGACAGAGAAACUAUGCAACUUGACUUUAGAAGAAGCAGGAUGCCAAUGGGUUAACAAAGAGGAAAGAUAGCGGUAGCAAUCAACCAGACAACAGUUGGUUGAAAAGAAAUAAAUAAGCUAAAUCACUACAACUACCCCCUUCUUCCAAAGAAAUAAAAACAAAAUUCUAUAUCAUGUAAUUCUCCACAGUAAGCCAAGAAAACUUCAUUUUCACCUUGAGGUAGAAAGUGUGUAUAUGUUUAUGCCACAUUUAUUGCUGAGGACAAUGUCUUCAUUUGUGCAGACACAAUGGUGAGAUGCCCCAGGGCAGAGUAUACAGCAGAGUUGAGGAGACUGCUCUGAGGCAAUACAACUUUCAGUCCUGUCUCACUUUAACUUUUCUUCCUAACACUGUUUUUCAGGCAUUGACUAAGGAAGAAUGGAUCCCAUUAAAAAAUAAGUAAUUAUCAGAAAUUACCUAGGAUAUGAAAGCAACAUUGUAAAUAGGGCAAAGAGCCAAAUGUUUUUCUUUGUAAAGUUUUUCCCCUUUCUAGGGGAAGGGAAACCUUUCCCAAGAACUCAUGUCUACUCUUAUCAGCCAGAGAAGUGUCACAUGUCUACCUCUACAUGAAAGGGAAGCUGAGUAGUUAAAUAUUGUACUUCAACCCCCAUUCUAAUGGAAGGCAAGGGAGAAGCGAUACUGGCAUAUAUUGGUAGGUGUUAGUUAUUGUUAUCUACACUCUGAGGAACUUUUUGGCACUAAAAUAUUAUAAUUCCAUAAAUGAUUGUUUGAUGAUAAAAGAUAGGAUUUAUAAGAAUUACAAAUGAUUUACCCUUGCAGUUAGAUCAUCUGCUUAAAAAGUAGUAAAAUGCUCACUUCUCAUGGAGGUGAUCCAAUGCCAGUAAAUACUUUCAUUGGCUUAAAAGUGUUUUUGUUAGAAAAGAAAUAUGACUUGUGUAGUUGGAUGAACUCUUCAGCAAGGAGACCAGUGAACAUUGAAUGAUUAUAAGGCCUUAACUUUAAAAAACAUCUGGAAAAAAUCUCUUAAGGGAGUUGUUCGACAUUUUCCUUCAAGUUUGUAAACUAUAUUUAAGUUUUCCUAAGUAAGCAGCAAUGUGUCCUGAGGGGAAUUGUCACAGCUUCCUUCUCCACUAGUCAGAGUUAACUCACCAUGAACUGCAAAUUUAUGAAAACUCUCUGUCCCAUUACUUAAAACAAAGGUUUAUCCUAAAGAAAGAAGUCAGCUAAUAAAGGCAAGUUCAUUGUGGCUGAGAACUUACUGAUGACAGAAAUGAAAGCUCAUAUCUAGGUUAAAAACUUAUCUUUCAAAGUGCCUAUAGUUCACUGAGAAGAGAAGGUAAUUCACAAAUAACAAAAAUACAGCAGUUGAAGUCUGAAGAGAAAAUAACAGGAUAUUGGUAGCCAUGUUUUGAGAAAGAGAGCUAUAUGCUAUGGGAUGAUCAAAGAAGAUCCUAAGGAGAUGUCAUUUGAACUUGUCCUUAAUGGAUAAGCUGGGUUUGGAUAGAUAGCAUUGGGAGGAAGGGUAUUUAUGUCAGAGGGAAAGAUGGGUCAGACAUAGGGGAAGGAAAUUGUAGGAUAGAUAUUGCACAAAACAUUGGGAACAUAUAGGAUAGAUGUUGCACAAAACAUUGGGAAUAUGAGAAGACCAUGAACAGUCCUUCUCUUAGUGAGCUUACCUUUCAAUAGGAAAGAUAGAAAAUAAGUAAGAGGACAACUAAAUACAAAAACAGAAUGAGGGUUGUGAAGCAGAUAAAAUGGAGUGAUGGAAAAGAUGGUGGCUGGGAAUGGGUCCAUGCUGGUACACAGGUGGAAGUUGCUGUUUUAUAUAGGGUUGCCAUCACAUUGGCCUUUCUGAGAAGGUGACAUAUGAGAAAAAAUCUGAAAGAUUUGAAAACUAAAGAUCUGGUCUUCUCUUCUCAGUUAAGUGGAAAGGCAAGUGUAAAACUUUUGCAUGAGAAAAGCAGGAAUACCUGUGUGCUGGAACACAGUGAAGCAUGAUAGAAGAUGAAUUUAGAGAGGGAGGCAGGAUCUAGAUUACCCUGGGCCAAGUGAGUCUAGGUCAGAGUUUGGACUUUAUUCUAAUGGUAAUGGGAAACUGGUAAAGAAUUUUAAGAGAAAAACAAUAUGAUCUGAUUUAUAUUAGUAAUAAUAAUAAAAAAAUCACCUUGUCUUCCUGUAUAACAGACAGCAGGGGGUAAGAAUGGUGGCAGGGAGCCUGCUGCAAGAGAUAGUGCUGCAUUGUUCUAGGGCAGAUCUAGGUUCCGUAAGUUACAUGCGCUCACCAAUGUUAAUGUCAAGAUCUGGUAGGAUUUCUGUGGUGCCAGAUGUUAACUCUUUAGUUUCUGUAUCAAGGGCAGUCAUAGGAGGUCUAAGAGCAUUGUUCAGAGUGGCUGGCAGGCUCAGUGUAAUGGCUAAUAUACUAGCUGAUCAGAAGAGGUUCAGUAUUUUAAUUACCAGUACAGUUGUACAUGUGCCUCUUGGCUAUCUCAGCCCUGGUCUUGUGUGAAGGUUAUGGAGAUGAAGAGGAAUAGUCAUACUCAUGAUUUAUUUUGAAGAUAGAAACUGUAAAUAGGCUUGCUGAAGAAUGUUGUAAGUAGGAUCUAUGCCUUAUAAAGGUAAAUGUGAUAAGAAUUAUUGCCUAACAUUUGUUAUAAAUUCUAAAAUAUUUGGCUUCAUUUUACUGUCUUAGUAAAAGUCUAUAACAUUUGUUAUAAACUCUUCUAAAAUAUAUCGUUUCACUUUACAGUCUCAGAAAAAAAGUGUUUUCCUUUGCUGAUCUGAUUGUUUUACAGGGCUUCAGGAUUAUUCUCAUUGGAUAAUUAUGUGGGGCAGAGAUAAAUGAUACAGGGAUAAACAGCAUUGUUUCAGGACAAAGACAAAAACAGCAUUUUAACUAAGUCUUAGUUAUUGACUCAAUUUCUUCUGAUUAAACUUUUUUAAAGUGAAAUAUAGAAAGGAAUUUUGUUUACUGAAGACUAACUAAUUAUUUUCUAAUUAAAAGAUGGAGUGUGAACUCCUGAAUCUAAAGAAUUCUGAAAAUGGUAGGACUAGUCUUCCUAUAUUUCAUAACUUUAAAUAAACCACAAUUUCUUUAGGAUUACAUUGCUCUUCUUUGAUUUAGUGUACAUUUUCACACUGCAAAAUACACAGUAACACAGUGUAUACCAGACCUUGGCAGUGAAUUAGAGGAUAUAAAUCAAUCUGUAAGUAGAGCUGAAAAGCUCAGAGCUUCAUAAAGAAGCUAUUUUUCAAGCUGGGCACUUUUAAAGACACUUUUUUUGAGAGAGACUUUUAAACAAACUCUCCUCCUUCAAACUUUUCCCUCAUUUUAAUUUUAACACUUUAUUCAUUGAUUUUCUUGGCAAUAUUAGAUCAUGAAAUCAGGAUUCCUAGCCACAAUAAAUAAUUUCAUCUCGAAUUAGUUAUAAAAUUUCCCUUGUUUCAGAUGUUGAUAGAAUUCUAACUAGUCAGAAUCAGAUGUUAUUUACAAAGUAUAUAAAAUUUAAGAGAAGUUGCAUUACCAGCUUUAUUGGUAUAACUUAGAGGUCAGUGUCCACAUAAAUUUGAAAAUGUACAGCCUGUUUGAUGGUAUCCAAGAAAAAUUCUGAAAGCCUCUUAAUAGUUUUAUCUUGUUUUAUGUAAUAGAUAUGUACCUGAAAAUUUGCAUGUAAAUCAAACUUAAUAUUAAUCAAACAAUAGUCAGAAAGAAGAGUAAUUUUCAAAUGCAAAUGCUGAUCAGUUUUUUCUAAAGCAAAUAGAUAAUCUCUAGUUGUUCUGAGUUUGUGUAAAUUUUGGUUUGGCUUAAAGUGGAAUAUACCUCUAAUAAAUGGUAAAAAUUGCCAGGAGAUAGUUCGUGAAAGACUAUGAUAUUGUAGUGUUUGAAUAGUCAUUUAAGCAGUGGAAAGAAACUAAAUAAAUCAUUUAACAUCUUAAAGAUAUAACUAACUGGGGUUUGUAACUUAAUUCAGAUUAAAAAAAUUAAUUUUAGGGCAGAUUGAGGCUAGGAAUCUACUGUCUUUAUUUAAUCUUGUAUUGCUAAAAAUAUUCACUGGUGCCAUGGGAUCACAACAGAGGUUACCAUGUUAAUAUCCUGGAUUAGGGGGAGGAUAACAUCAUUGGGGUUUCCAUUAUAAAUUUUAGUUCCCUCAUAUUGACAGUGGGAAGAAGGUAGAGGAUAUAAACUGCUGGGGUUUAUUAAAUUCUCAAUUUCAAAUCUUACCUAUUCACCCAUGGUCUAAGCAAUACAUCCAGAAAUGUGCACACAGGUUAUAUUUUAUAUGAAGUGCAGUAACUAUUUACUGAGCAUAUACUCUGUGCUAGGAUGUAGAAUCAUUAUUCAUCCUCAACUAUGAAUUAAGCAAAAACUUUGUAUAAAUCAUUGUUCUACAAGGCAAUACAAUAUGUGAGGAAGUCACAUUCUCUAAAGAGUGUAUGGAUUAAUGGGGAAGGCAGAUAAGUAAACUGGAAAUUACAAAAGAGCAUAACAAGGGCUUUGAUAGAGAAGAUCCAGGGCAAUGAGAAUCUCUAAACUAGUUGUAGGUAGGGAUUGUGUUGAGGAACAUGUCAGGGUAAGCAUCCUAAAAAAAAGACAGCAAAGUUGUUAACUAAAAUAUGAUUAGGAAUUAGGUCAUUGAUGAAAGUUUGAUGAGUCAACAAGCCAUAUGAUUUUGGCAAAUCAAGGUUAUAGAGUGAAAAUGAAUAUUUCAUGUUUAGGGAAUUAUAAUAAAUUUAGUAUGAAUGCAACAUGAUAAGAGAGGAGAGAUGAAUAUCAGAAAUUGUAUAAUAAACACUGAUUUUUGUAUAAGUCAUGUGAGGCAAUAUCAUAAAGGGUCUUAAAUGUUUUUAAUGGAUUUUAUUGUGAGGGCACUGGAGAGCCAUGGGGAUUUUUUAAAGGAGCAUAAUAUACAGGUUUGCACUUUAGAAAGACUCCUCUGGCUACAGUGGAGAAAAUAAAUUGAUAGUAGAAAAUAGAAGGCUUCAAAACAAGAGACCAAAUAUAAACCUGUUGAAAAUUAUAGCACUCAUUCCCACUAGAGAUGUUAGUGGCCUGAACUAAGGUAGUAGAAGUAAAGAGAGAAGUGGAUGAGAUAGAGAGUCAUUGAAAAGAUUGGAUCAACAACAAUUAUUGAUUUGGAUGCGGUAUAAGAAGGGUUAGAAGCAAUGCAAAAUAGGAGUAGGCUUAGACCACUUGUUAACACUUUGAGCUUAACUCUGGGAUGUCUAUAUAGUGACGAUGAGGAUAAAAUUACGUAUAUAUGUCUGGAAUUUAGGAAAGGAAUCUGCAUUGGAGGUAUAAAGUUGGGAGUCAUUAGCAUUUAGUUGGUAACUGAAGCCUGGAUAUGUAAGACCUUGCCCAGGGAGAAUGUGUGGACUGAGAGAAGAGCCCCAGCACAAAACUCUGAGGAAUACCAAGAAUUAAUCCUGGUCAAGAAACAUAAAUUUUGGAGUUACCAUCGUGGCUCAGUGGAAACAAAUCUGUCUAGAAUCCAUGAAGACCUGGGUUCGAUCCCUGGCCUCGCCCAGUAGGUUAAAGAUCCAGGAUUGUCAUGAGCUGUGGCGUAGGUCAUAGACACAGCUCAGAUCUGACAUUGUUCUGGCUGUGGUGUAGGCCAGUGGCUAUGGCUCCAAUUGGACCCCUGCCCUGGGAACCUCCAUAUACUGCUGGUGUGGCCCUU
ensembl:lncRNA